ensembl:lncRNA
AAACAAUUGUGUGCAUGUGUGUGUCCAUGUGUGCCUGUAUAUAUGUGAGCGUGAGUGUGUCGUGUGUGUGUGUGUGUGUGUGUGAGUGUUAACUACUUUAGUUAAAAAGACUCUGCAUGAAGGUCAUGCACACAACUGUACAUCGUCUAAGGGUCGUCUUCUGGGGAGCUUGGUGUGUGUUGGGAAACACCCCUCUAAAAGGAAGCUCCACGUCAGAAGCAGGUUUGAAAUGCUCAAGUCCGCUCCGACAGAGAGGGGAGUUUGUGUCCUUGGUGAUGGAGAGGCUUGCCCCAUCCUGCUUUAGAGAAGGUCCGUCCUUGUCGCCAGAGCUGGCUGUCCAGGAACAUCCUGUUUGCACACAGAUGGUCACUGUGAAGGACAGAGAGGAGCCUGACUGCAUCCCCUGAGCGCUUGGAUCCAGCCAUGCCUGAAGGGAUUCUGAAGCUGGUUCUCCUAACUGGAGAAGCCCAGAAAGGAGAGCCUGGAGGAGAAGAGACAGAUUCCUUGACGUCAGUCCUGACAGGUCUCAGUCCCUCAAUGUUCUGGUUCUCUGAGCAUCCCAGCCUGUGGCUCUGAUGGACGUGGGUGGGAGGGGACAGGAUCUCAGGAGGGGCUUGGGUGGCUGCACCAACCUGGUGGGAGCAGCAUCGGGCAGGGGAGUGACCAGCCCAGAACCUCCUGUCCCACAUCCUGAGACCCGAGCAGCAGGACACCCUCUGGGAAGCUCUGCCAUCCACCCUCUCUGGGACCCACCUGCACAGGAGGCGGAAGGCAGACAAUGCAGCCAACCCUAUGCAAACACCAGAAAUUUCCAGAAUGUCGGUCCCCACCGUGGCGUGAUAGCCAGUCCCACAUACGGGUCUGUGGUGGAAGAAAAUCACCUGUGAGAAAGCAGCAGCACCAGACCCCGUAUGUUUGCUUAUUUUGUUGAUGGUUUAACUGCAAACUCGAUGUGAUUUUCUGGGGACGGGGACUGGGUUGGCACUCUGGGUAGUUUAUUACAUGACCUUUAGCGCCAAUCAUUUAUUCCCGCUGUGGUUUUCCACUUGGAUUUAUUUUCACCGCCAGCAUAGAGUCCCCCACUUGUGUUUCUGAGGGAUCUGAAGCUCACUUAAUUGGUUACCGUGGUUGACCUCCUCUUAGCUCCCAGGCGUGCCGGGAAAAGUACACCAUCCAACUCAGGACGCAGAGAGCAGCGUUUCCUCACCCUGAUUUUGAUUUGUCAUUUUUUUGAAAGUUAAGAACAAAUUUUAAGAGGGUUUGACCUAAGAUACUCAACUUUUUAUGACAAAUUAUUUGCAAACAUAAUAUCUGAACUUUGAAGUUUAGCGGGAAAGAACCUAAUAGUCACUUUUCACCUUAACUUGGGCCCUGAGCUAUCCUGGAGGCGUUGAUCUGAUUUCUGUUAAAUGAACGACAUUUCUCUUUUUCUCUGGUUCUGAGGUUUCCAGCCCUCAGAUUAGGACCAGCCCCCGAGAGGGCCUAAAUCCUCUGAGCACUUCCUCCUCAGGACCACGGACAGCGCAGACACACCCCUCCUCUCUUUGGGGCCUGGGGAGUCCCUUCCUGUACAAUUACCUUGCAGGGAAAGCCCCAGCCCUGCCUGCAGGAGCCUGUGCUCCAGGCGAGACUGCCCUCGGUACUGGAGGGGCCCUGAGCACUGAUUUGUGUUACAAACCAGAAUUCCCAAAUGUCAGUGAAUUCUGCCGGGAGACCAGGUGACACUCAGACACAGGAAGAAAUUGCCCACGGCCCUCAGAUUAGGGCCUGGCCCUGUGGCCUCCACUAGCCCAGGACAGACACCUCAGUGCAGUGACCGCUGCAUUAAAGGCUGCCGGCCCAGCUGAACCAGACACGGACCGGGAAGGAAACCCCAGGCCUGCCCACAGGAGCAUGAGGCCAGGUGGCCAUGUGGGAGCAAAGAGGGUUAUUCUCCCAGGGGAGAAGAUUGAGGCCUGAACCCAGGAAGCAGAGAGGCCUCUGGCCUCCCCCACCCCACUCUGGGUGACCUUGGACCAGUCCUGCUCUGGGCUCAGUGUUCUCAGCUGUCAUGUGACCCUGCACUGGAUCUGAGGUAUGAAACAGCAGGUGCCCCCGGUAAGCCCCAACCCACCCCAGCCGGGCCUCCCACAGAGCUGGACUCCAACCUCCAGGUGUAAGUCAGAGAAGACAGCCACUCUGAGCUCUCGGCACCCAGGGGACUGACUGCAGGGACUCAGGAACAGGGCUUGGAAGACCCAAAAGGCCAGCGGGGAUGGCCGUCACCCAGACAGCAGCGACAGCAGGCUGGGAGCAGCCACAUAGCCACUCACUGGCACCCAGGAGGGCAGGGACCAGAAGCCUGUGCACUGGGGACCGGAGCCCUGGAGAUGGCACCGCCAGAACAGCCGCAGAAGGCUCAACGAGGGGAAGGCCCCUGUGCACCGCCUUCUGUCCUUCUGUCUCCCACUUCUGCCUUCCAUCUGCCAAACCCCACAGAAGCCAGCGGACCCCAGAGGACACAGCAGGGCCAGCCCCUGGACACAGGUCAGGGGAGGCAGAGGGGUCUAAGCACAGAUAAACCAGGCUAGAGCCGGGCGUGGGCCCUCGCUGUCUGGGAUCUCUGCAUGUCUGAGGGCUUGCUUUCCCAUUGCUGCCUCUAGUGACUUUAAAAAUCACUGUCUAACAACUAAGAUAUGCAAUUAUGUACUGGGGGGGAUUUGGGGAUAAAAAGAAAAAAAAAAGAUUGGCAACAGUUGUUAGCUCAGGUGCCAAUCUUUAAAAAAAAAAAAUCACCGUCUAAUGCCUGUCAAGUCAGUGCCUUAACCUGGAAUGAUGAGCAGGCCACCAGGGGCUCCCCUGCCUCACCCACCCCAAGAGGCUCCCUCUCACCAGCACCAGGAACUGGGGGCCUCAGGUCAGCGGGUCUGGCUGGAGCCUCUCAGAGGCCGUCACCUCUGGCCCCUCAGCCACAGGCUGAUCCAGGAGCCAUGGAGCAUAUUCUCGUAAAGGGACAAGUAAUGAAAGGACACCAGAGGGGCAGCAGACUAUGAGGAGUGGGCACAGCUUAGAAGGAUGUGGAGCGAGGGGUCCCAGCAGGGGAUGGGCAGCUGCGGGCAGAACCCUGGUCAGGGGCAGCACAAGUCUCAGAGAGGCUCAGGGCCUCUGCCCACAUGUUGGCUGGACCUGGGCUGGGCUGGACACCCUGGGCUGCAGUGGCUUUGUGGGCACCUCACACAUCUCCUCUGACAGCAGCACCCCCUGUUCCAAGAGGACCCAUCCCGACUCUGAGACCUGACUGGGCGGCCUCCUGGCAUGCUGGAUGCUGGAGUAGUCACGUGGUUUCUGGUGUGGUCCCCUGACCCUUGGUGGCCACAUUGACUUGUGGGACCUAGAUGGGACCGGGAGAUGGCUGGACAAGAAAGCCCCCCAGUUGGGUCUUCUCAUUCGGGGAAUCAGCCCAGGGAUCAAGGAAACAAAGGGGUGCACAUCAGGGGAGGAAAUUGGAGUCUGGCAGCUGCGUGUAUCCCCCACAGCCCCCAGGGGGCUGGAAUCAUUGCCCCUAGACUUGCAGUGUGAGCCCGCAGCCUCAGGGCCCUGAGACCCAGCAAGGGGUGUGGUGCCACUGCAGCUGAGUGACUUCUGAUCCAUACACUCAGUCCCAGACAGCACUCCACUCCUCGUCUCUCCCCAGCGGGAAGGAGGAAGCAGAGGGAAGUGUCCCCACGAUGAGACAUGCGCCACCCCUGACCCUGGUCCCAGGGCGGGGCCGCGGGAGCCCUCCCAGGACGGUGGGUGCGUGUGUCCACUCCUCAGGGUGGGCCGCGCAGGUGGGUCGUGGAGCUGCUGGGCCAGCUGCACCGCUGUGUGACUCCAGGACAGACUCGCGGGCGGACACCGCAGAGGCCACUGUGCACUGUCUGCGACCUGGGGAAGAGCAGCCUUCCUGGCCUCGAGCGAGCCCCUGGCUGAGCAACUUCCACAGCCCAGGGAGCCCUGGCGGAGGAGAGGGUUUUCUGAGCAGAGAAUGUUCCCGAGGACCCGGAGCUCAGCUCACAGGCAUCCCUCGAGGGAACGACUCAGAUGUGUGUGUUCAUUCCUUCCUUCCAUCAGUCAGUCAGUCAGCCAGUCAGCCAGUCAUUUAAUUCCUUAUUCAUCCAUGUGUUUAUUUCCAGCUGAAGCCACAGAUAGGCACCAUGAAGCGGGAUCUCGGAGGGAACCGCACACGAGUAGGGACGGGUCAGAGCAGGACCCUGAAGCCAAACCUCAUGGUCUGAGCCCUGCUCACCACUCAGCUGUGUUACCUGGGACAGGUCGCUUGCCGUCUCCGUAUCCGGGUCUGUCAGCUGAGGACAGUGAUAAGCCCGCCCCGUGGGGUGUGAGCUGAUGAGUCUGUGUGGACGGUGCCCAGGACAAGGCCUGGCCCCCGCGACCCAGGGCUCUGGGCUCUCUCCACAGAACUGCCGGGUCAGGGGACAAUUUCCAUCUCCUGUGGGGACGUGACCUGUGCACCCGCCGGGCAGAGGGUGCGACAGUGUUGGGUGGGGCCUGCUCUCUGCGACCAUCCUGAGAGUGAACGACUUGCAUUCUCACCAUACCCACGUUUAAUUCAUAAGGAUUCAAAUACAUGCAUUUUGCCAGAAAAAAUGAGAAAGCUAAUUCAAAUUAAACUGUAAAAUUAAA